GGUGAAGAACGCAGCGAAAUGCGAUAAGUAAUGUGAAUUGCAGAAUUCAGUGAAUCAUCGAAUCUUUGAACGCACAUUGCGCCCCUUGGUAUUCCGAGGGGCAUGCCUGUUCGAGCGUCAUUAUAACCCCUCAAGCUCAGCUUGGUGUUGGGGCCUGCUGCACUGGCAGCCCUUAAAAUCAGUGGCGGCGCCAUCUGGCUCUAAGCGUAGUAAUUCUUCUCGCUAUGGAGUCCUGGUGGAUGCUUGCCAUCAACCCCCAAUUUUUCUAUGGUUGACCUCGGAUCAGGUAGGGAUACCCGCUGAACUUAAGCAUAUCAAUAAGCGGAGGA
rnacentral:misc_RNA from 1 species